GGAGGAGGGAAUGAGUCCUCUUGAAAAUUCUUGGCCAGCUGUGAAUGUGAUGUGUCUGCGAAAGGGAACUUAAUCAAUAUUCAAGAACAACAGGAGGCAAGGUUGUGUUUCAUUAAAUGACUGAUCAUGGAAAACAGUGGAGGGAUGAAGCAGCAAUCUAGAAACAGUGAGUCCAGGAAUGAUCCUGAUGAGCAAGACCUGCGUCUUCAAAGAGACACCCAGGUCUGAACUCCUGUGAAAAUCUGAUCGUGUCGGGGUGAGGAGCCCUUCUCCCAAGCUCCUGUAGCAGCUUAUGUGUUUCCCGUGAACCCACCAUACCUCUUUCCUACCACACCAUGAUCGCCCAUUUACUCAUUUCUAGAAUCUUCCUGAUUACAAAGGAGGCUCUGGGAGGUCAGGGACUGUAUCUGCCCAGAUCACCAUUUUAUUUCCCUUGCUUAGCUCAUUGCCUGGAAGAUAAUAGGUGUUCAAUAUUUACUGAAUAAAUAAAUGAAAAUCAUAAAGCUUU